rnacentral:rRNA from 1 species
AUAUUGGGUAAUGGAGGCAACUCUGAACCAGCCACGUCGCGUGUAGGAAGACGGCCCUACGGGUUGUAAACUUCUUUUGUUAGGGAAUAAAGUGAGUCACGUGUGCAUUUUUGCAUGUCCCUUAACAAUAAGGUUCGGCCUACUCCGUGCCACCCGCCGCGGUAAUACGGAGGAUCCGAGCGUUAUCCGGAUUUAUUGGGUUUAAAGGGUGCGCAGGCGGGAGAUUAAGUCGGUGGUGAAAUUUUGCAGCUCAACUGUAACAGUGCCAUUGAUACUGGUUUCCUCGAGUGUGGAUGAAGUAGGCGGAAUUUGUGGUGUAGCGGUGAAAUGCAUAGAUAUCACGAGGAACUCCGAUCGCGUAGGCAGCUUACUAAACCAUAACUGACGCUCAUGCACGAAGGCGUGGGGAUCAAACA